GAAUUCAGCCUGCGCCGACCUCCUCCCCGGCAAAGGCGAAUAGGUCAGCUUCCUCCUCCUCCCAGAGGCUGACCACCAAAACCAAUACCCGCCGGUCCUCCCCCGGCGGGUGUUGUCG
rnacentral:sRNA from 1 species